CCUUACAUUAAAGAAGUCCCACUAACUCAAAUAAACUAUGCAUGAUAAUGAGGGGUCAGUCACGAGACAUUCACAGUCAGAAGGAAGUUCUACAAUGUGCAUAGAAUACCAUAGGCUUGCCCUUAUUUUCUUUACCCUAGUUUUCAGACAAUCAUUUUAGGCUCAUUAGAGGAAUUUAUUAUGCUUGUAAUGUAGUAUUAGGGGAUGGUAUGGUACAUAUGGGAUUAAGUGACUACACCCCCUG
rnacentral:lncRNA from 1 species